CGGGACGGGUGAGUAAUGUCUGGGAAACUGCCUGAUGGAGGGGGAUAACUACUGGAAACGGUAGCUAAUACCGCAUAGCGUCGCAAGACCAAAGAGGGGGACCUUAGGGCCUCUUGCCAUCGGAUGUGCCCAGAUGGGAUUAGCUAGUAGGUGGGGUAACGGCUCACCUAGGCGACGAUCCCUAGCUGGUCUGAGAGGAUGACCAGCCACACUGGAACUGAGACACGGUCCAG
rnacentral:rRNA from 1 species